AAAUUGAAGAGUUUGAUCAUGGCUCAGAUUGAACGCUGGCGGCAGGCCUAACACAUGCAAGUCGAGCGGUAGCACAGAGAGCUUGCUCUCGGGUGACGAGCGGCGGACGGGUGAGUAAUGUCUGGGAAACUGCCUGAUGGAGGGGGAUAACUACUGGAAACGGUAGCUAAUACCGCAUAAUGUCGCAAGACCAA
rnacentral:rRNA from 1 species